rnacentral:rRNA from 1 species
UACAGGGGGUGCAAACGUUGCUCGGAAUCAUUGGGCGUAAAGCGCACGUAGGCGGUCUGUUAUGUCGGAUGUGAAAGCCCUUGGCUUAACUGAGGAAGUGCAUCCGAAACUGGCAGGCUAGAGUACUAAAGAGGGUCGCGGAAUUCCUGGUGUAGCGGUGAAAUGCGCAGAUAUCAGGAGGAACACCGGUGGCGAAGGCGGCUUGCUGGGCCAGUUCUGACGCUGAGGAGCGAAAGCGUGGGGAGCGAACAGG